rnacentral:rRNA from 1 species
UACGUAGGUGACAAGCGUUGUCCGGAUUUACUGGGCGUAAAAAGCGCGCAGGCGGUCGUUCAAGUCGAGUGUGAAAGCCCCCGGCUCAACUGGGGAGGGUCAUUCGAUACUGAUCGACUCGAAGGCAGGAGAGGGUAGUGGAAUUCCCGGUGUAGUGGUGAAAUGCGUAGAUAUCGGGAGGAACACCAGUGGCGAAGGCGACUACCUGGCCUGUUCUUGACGCUGAGGCGCGAAAGCUAGGGGAGCAAACGGG